UACAGAGGUGGCAAGCGUUGUUCGGAAUUACUGGGCGUAAAGGGCGCGUAGGCGGUCCGAUAAGUCCCGUGUGAAAGCCCCCGGCUCAACUGGGGAACUGCACGGGAAACUGACGGACUUGAGUUCGGGAGAGGGAAGCGGAAUUCCGGGUGUAGCGGUGAAAUGCGUAGAUAUCGGAAGGAACAUCAGUGGCGAAGGCGACUUCCUGGACCAAUACUGACGCUCAGGUGCGAAAGCGUGGGGAGCAAACAGG
rnacentral:rRNA from 1 species